rnacentral:rRNA from 1 species
UACGGAGGGUGCAAGCGUUGCUCGGAAUUAUUGGGCGUAAAGGGCAGGUAGGUGGUCUCGUUUGUCUGGGGUGAAAGCCUUGGGCUUAACUCAAGAAGUGCCCCAGAAACGGCGAGACUAGAGUACUGGAGAGGGUCGUGGAAUUCCCGGUGUAGCGGUGAAAUGCGUAGAGAUCGGGAGGAACACCAGCGGCGAAGGCGGCGACCUGGACAGUUACUGACACUCAACUGCGAAAGCGUGGGGAGCAAACAGG